AUGGAGUUGAGGCUGACCUGGGUUUUCCUUGUUGCUAUAUUAAAAGGUUUCCAGUGUGAGGUGCAGCUGGUGGAGUCUGGGGGAGGCUUGGGGAAGCCUGGUGGGUCCCUGAAACUCUCCUGUGCAGCCUCUGGAUUCACAUUCGAUGAUUACUACAUGAGCUGGUUCCGCCAGGCUCCAAGAAAGGGGCUGGAGUGGCUCUCAUACAUUAAUUGGAGUGGUGGUAGCACAACUUAUGCAGACUCCGUGAAGGGCAGAGUCACCAUCUCCAGAGACAAUAACAAGAACACACUGUAUCUGCAAAUGAACAGUCUGAGAGCAGACGACACUGCCACGUAUUACUGUGCAAAAGACACCGUGUGUGAACUUCAGUGUAUCCAGUGUGAGAUCCAGCUGUUAGAGUCUGGAGGAGGCUUGGUGCCACCUAGGGGUGGGAUCCCUGAGACUCUCCUGUGCAGCCUCAGGAUUCACCUUCAGUAA